rnacentral:rRNA from 1 species
CCUACGGGUGGCAGCAGUGGGGGAUAUUGCACAAUGGGGGGAACCCUGAUGCAGCGACGCCGCGUGGGUGAAGAAGCGCCUCGGCGCGUAAAGCCCUGUCAGCAGGGAAGAAAAUGACGGUACCUGAAGAAGAAGCCCCGGCUAACUACGUGCCAGCAGCCGCGGUAAUACGUAGGGGGCAAGCGUUAUCCGGAUUUACUGGGUGUAAGGGGGGCGCAGACGGCGAUGCAAGCCAGGAGUGAAAGCCCGGGGCCCAACCCCGGGACUGCUCUUGGAACUGCGUGGCUGGAGUGCAGGAGGGGCAGGCGGAAUGCCUGGUGUAGCGGUGAAAUGCGUAGAUAUCAGGAGGAACACCGGUGGCGAAGGCGGCCCGCUGGACUGCAACUGACGUUGAGGCCCGAAAGCGUGGGGAGCAAACAGGAUUAGAUACCCGAGUAGUC